GGGGCCGUAGCUCAGCUGGGAGAGCGCCUGACUGGCAGUCAGGAGGUCAGGGGUUCGAUCCCCCUCGGCUCCA
rnacentral:tRNA from 1 species